GUCGAGCGAACGGACGAGAAGCUUGCUUCUCUGAUGUUAGCGGCGGACGGGUGAGUAACACGUGGAUAACCUACCUAUAAGACUGGGAUAACUUCGGGAAACCGGAGCUAAUACCGGAUAAUAUUUUGAACCGCAUGGUUCAAAAGUGAAAGACGGUCUUGCUGUCACUUAUAGAUGGAUCCGCGCUGCAUUAGCUAGUUGGUAAGGUAACGGCUUACCAAGGCAACGAUGCAUAGCCGACCUGAGAGGGUGAUCGGCCACACUGGAACUGAGACACGGUCCAGACUCCUACGGGAGGCAGCAGUAGGGAAUCUUCCGCAAUGGGCGAAAGCCUGACGGAGCAACGCCGCGUGAGUGAUGAAGGUCUUCGGAUCGUAAAACUCUGUUAUUAGGGAAGAACAUAUGUGUAAGUAACUGUGCACAUCUUGACGGUACCUAAUCAGAAAGCCACGGCUAACUACGUGCCAGCAGCCGCGGUAAUACGUAGGUGGCAAGCGUUAUCCGGAAUUAUUGGGCGUAAAGCGCGCGUAGGCGGUUUUUUAAGUCUGAUGUGAAAGCCCACGGCUCAACCGUGGAGGGUCAUUGGAAACUGGAAAACUUGAGUGCAGAAGAGGAAAGUGGAAUUCCAUGUGUAGCGAUGAAAUGCGCAGAGAUAUGGAGGAACACCAGUGGCGAAGGCGACUUUCUGGUCUGUAACUGACGCUGAUGUGCGAAAGCGUGGGGAUCAAACAGGAUUAGAUACCCUGGUAGUCCACGCCGUAAACGAUGAGUGCUAAGUGUUAGGGGGUUUCCGCCCCUUAGUGCUGCAGCUAACGCAUUAAGCACUCCGC
rnacentral:rRNA from 1 species